CCGGUGCCUCCCACACAGCAUCGAUCUGCGGCUCGCUGACCAAGACCCCUUUAAGGCGGAAGGAUACAAUGUGCCGUGAGGGGCUCCUCGUUCCGAGCCUAUAAAAGGCGGCCGGUGAGGGGCUGCAGCUCUCUCGCCGGUCCCUCACGCCCGAGACGAUGCCCGAGAAAGUGCAGCACGAGGAGGAAGAUGCGGAGACCUUCGCCUUCCAGGCGGAGAUCGCCCAGCUCAUGUCGCUCAUUAUCAACACCUUCUAUUCCAAUAAGGAGAUCUUCCUGCGGGAGCUCAUCUCCAACGCCUCCGACGCCCUGGAUAAGAUCCGCUAUGAGAGCCUGACCGAUCCCUCCAAGCUGGACAGUGGGAAAGACCUGAAAAUUGACAUCAUCCCCAACCCCCGGGACCGCACGCUGACCCUGGUGGACACUGGCAUUGGGAUGACAAAAGCAGACCUCAUCAACAACCUGGGCACCAUUGCCAAAUCUGGGACCAAAGCCUUCAUGGAAGCCCUGCAGGCUGGCGCAGACAUCUCCAUGAUCGGGCAGUUCGGUGUGGGUUUCUAUUCCGCCUAUCUGGUGGCUGAGAAGGUGGUGGUCAUUACCAAGCACAACGAUGACGAGCAGUAUGCUUGGGAGUCAUCAGCUGGGGGCUCGUUCACUGUGCGAACUGACCACGGUGAGCCCAUUGGACGUGGCACCAAAGUGAUCCUGUACUUGAAGGAGGACCAGACUGAGUACUUGGAGGAGCGUCGUGUGAAAGAGGUGGUGAAGAAGCACUCCCAGUUCAUUGGCUACCCCAUCACGCUCUAUCUGGAGAAAGAACGUGAGAAAGAGAUCAGUGAUGAUGAAGCAGAGGAGGAGAAAGAUGAGAAGGAGGAAGAGUCAGUGUCCAAAGAUGAAGAGAAACCCAAAAUCGAGGAUGUGGGCUCUGAUGAGGAGGAGGAGGGAGACAAAGGCAAGAAGAAAAAGACCAAGAAAAUCAAGGAGAAAUAUAUUGACCAGGAGGAGCUGAACAAGACCAAACCAAUUUGGACCCGCAAUCCUGAUGACAUCACCCAGGAGGAGUAUGGCGAGUUCUACAAGAGCCUCACCAAUGACUGGGAGGACCACUUGGCUGUCAAGCACUUCUCUGUGGAAGGGCAGCUGGAGUUCAGGGCCCUGCUUUUCAUCCCACGCCGUGCCCCUUUUGACCUCUUUGAGAACAAGAAGAAGAAGAAUAACAUUAAGCUGUAUGUGAGGCGGGUCUUCAUCAUGGACAGCUGUGACGAGCUCAUCCCUGAAUACCUGAACUUCAUCCGGGGUGUUGUGGACUCAGAGGACCUUCCUCUGAACAUUUCUCGUGAGAUGCUCCAGCAGAGCAAGAUCCUCAAAGUGAUCCGCAAAAACAUUGUGAAGAAAUGCUUGGAGCUCUUUUCUGAGCUGGCAGAAGACAAAGAGAACUACAAGAAAUUUUAUGAAGCUUUUUCCAAGAAUCUGAAGUUGGGCAUCCACGAGGACUCCACCAACCGAAAGCGCCUUUCGGAGCUGCUGCGGUACCACACGUCGCAGUCGGGCGAUGAGGUGACUUCGCUCUCCGAGUACGUGUCCCGUAUGAAGGAGAACCAGAAGAGCAUCUACUACAUCACAGGGGAGAGUAAGGAGCAGGUCGCUAACUCGGCCUUUGUGGAGCGCGUGCGGAAGCGUGGCUUUGAGGUGGUGUACAUGACAGAGCCCAUCGAUGAGUACUGCGUGCAGCAGCUCAAGGAGUUUGAUGGCAAGACCCUGGUAUCAGUCACCAAAGAGGGGCUGGAGCUGCCUGAAGAUGAGGAAGAGAAAAAAAAGAUGGAGGAGAGCAAGGCCAAGUUUGAGAACCUCUGCAAACUUAUGAAGGAAAUCCUGGACAAGAAGGUGGAGAAGAGGAGCCGCUAGAGGAGACUGGAGGUCCCAGCAUGCACCAUCUUGCUCUAAGCAGCCAGGCUGCAGGCGAGGGGCACUGACCCAAAUACGUGCAUUGAUGGGAGAGGGUCACCGUCUCAAACCGGCUGGUCUCGUCUCCCUGCUGCAUCGUCACCAGCACCUACGGCUGGACAGCCAACAUGGAGCGCAUCAUGAAGGCUCAGGCACUGCGGGACAACUCUACCAUGGGCUAUAUGAUGGCCAAGAAGCACCUGGAGAUCAACCCUGACCACCCAAUUGUAGAAACCCUUCGCCAGAAGGCUGAUGCUGACAAGAAUGACAAAGCUGUUAAAGAUCUGGUGGUGCUGCUCUUUGAGACUGCUCUGCUGUCCUCUGGUUUCUCCCUGGAAGAUCCCCAGACCCACUCCAACCGCAUCUACAGGAUGAUCAAACUUGGGCUUGGCAUAGAUGAAGAUGAGGUGGCUGCAGAGGAGUCCAGUGCAGCUGCCCCUGAGGAAAUCCCCCCUCUGGAGGGAGAUGAAGAUACAUCCCGCAUGGAAGAGGUAGACUAAAGGAGGAAGGCUCUUCCUUCACCUGCCAGACCUCUGCUCUAUCUAGAUGGUCUGCUCCCACCAGCUGCUACUGACUUCUUGGUGGUGUCUGUUCUUGUGGCUCUGUUUGGUUGGGCUUGUUUCUGGCAGGGUGCAGGAGGGCAUGAUUCCCUGUUUGUUAGUAGUGAUUCAGGUAGCCUGAGCCUGUCUGUUCUGUGUCUUUCUGCUUGUGUAGAAACAGCUGAUGGGGAGUGGAGGUGUGAGGAGGCAUCAGGCUUCCCCUCUCUCCCCUUCAUGGAGUGUCCCAUGUUACCAGUAGGCAUCAAACACUGUUCUUAUUCCAUUGGGGUGGGAGAGCCCUUGCUCCAAACUGCUGCCUCCCUGAAGCCCCAGGAUAGCAUAAUGUAUUUUGGUUGGGUUUUGUUUGAUUAUUUUUCUGGAAUUUUGUUCUACUGGAAUUAAAGAAUUGAUGAUUUA